rnacentral:rRNA from 1 species
AUUGAACGCUGGCGGCAUGCUUUACACAUGCAAGUCGAACGGUAACAGGCCGCAAGGUGCUGACGAGUGGCGAACGGGUGAGUAAUGCAUCGGAACGUGCCCAGUCGUGGGGGAUAACGCAGCGAAAGCUGCGCUAAUACCGCAUACGAUCUAUGGAUGAAAGCGGGGGACCGUAAGGCCUCGCGCGAUUGGAGCGGCCGAUGUCAGAUUAGGUAGUUGGUGGGGUAAAGGCUCACCAAGCCAACGAUCUGUAGCUGGUCUGAGAGGACGACCAGCCACACUGGGACUGAGACACGGCCCAGACUCCUACGGGAGGCAGCAGUGGGGAAUUUUGGACAAUGGGCGCAAGCCUGAUCCAGCAAUGCCGCGUGCAGGAAGAAGGCCUUCGGGCUGUAAACUGCUUUUGUACGGAACGAAACGGUUCUCUCUAAUACAGGGGGCUAAUGACGGUACCGUAAGAAUAAGCACCGGCUAACUACGUGCCAGCCGCCGCAGUAACAC